CCCCCCCCCCUCUCAACCGCCCACACUGCCCCGCACCUCCGCAGCCUCCCGUUCGCUAGCUGGCCACGGCGGGCCUCUCCCCAACCCCGCCAACCGGCAAACCGCGGCCGGCGCCCCGCCGCCGCCGCCAACCACCGCUCGCCGGCCAAACCACAACCAGCGGCGACCCUGCCGUCGCUCCGGCUCGCCGCGCCUCCACUCCGCGCCCGCUUCAACUCCACCGCCCAACCGCCGGCGGCCAACCCGCCGCCAUGCCGCACUCCAAUUGUAUUUUCCGACUCCAUUUCCUCGGAUUUCUGGCUGCAUUGGAGGAUGCGCAAGGCUAGAGGACACAGAGUGGCGUGCUCCAACGCAGCAACGCAGCGAGGGAAGGGAAGAACCAAAUGCCCCAAAACGUGGAUGCGGCCGGCCGCGUUCGGGCGGCAUGGUGUUUAAGGUUUGCCGGAAGAGGAUGCCCAUGUGCUGUUAGCUGAAAUAGCUGGAUCCAUUGCGCUGAGGCUCGCCGCCUUGCCACUAAGCAAGCGGCCGUUGAAGGUGGCCACGCUCAAUCGUCUGCAGGCUUGAGCACCGCAGGACACGCACGCGCUCAGGAUCCGCUGCCGGGGACGAUCCACUGGACCCGUUGGUCGAGCGACCACUCUGCAGUCUGCACGAUUGCCUACUGCUGCCAGAUUCCCUGGUUCGGUGAAGAAAAACACGGCUGUUGUCAUCGAGAUGACAAAGGGGAAUCCUGCUGCUGUGAAAUGAGGAAGACAUGGAUUUGCUACACCUUUUCUAGGUUGAUCCACCGAUCCUUGCUUUUCCAAGAUUACCAAAACAGCAUGCUGUUGUUCACAAGAAGGAUUGUUUCUUCAGUUGAACCUAUUGCAGUCAGAGAACCCAAGUGCAAGUUUUACUAUGAUCUGAAUUAGAGGCAUGGAGGGCACGUGUUCAGGAUGAUCACAGCGAUAUCCAGCUGCUCAUCAUGUUUUGCACGGUUGUUUUGGACUUGGGAGCCAGUGAGGUACUUUAUUUUUUUGGUUGUGUUCCUGAUUUGAGCAUUAUUUUGUCACUUGUCUACUCUAUUUGUCAAAAUUAUGCUGGAAAGGAGGACACUAGGGAGAACCUUCCAGCUCGUAGCUCAUGUUCCUGGUCAAAUUUAGAUAGCUAAAGUUCAAUUACGUGUGGAGGGUCAAUUUCUGUACAGGCUGGAUUCAUGAAAGGUUUAAUGAAGAGUGGUGCUGCUUGUACGAAUCA